UACGGAGGGUGCAAGCGUUAUCCGGAUUCACUGGGUUUAAAGGGUGCGUAGGUGGGUUGGUAAGUCAGUGGUGAAAUCUCCAGGCUUAACUUGGAAACUGCCAUUGAUACUAUCAAUCUUGAAUGCCGUGGAGGUCAGCGGAAUAUGUCAUGUAGCGGUGAAAUGCUUAGAUAUGACAUAGAACACCAAUUGCGAAGGCAGCUCACUACACGAAUAUUGACACUGAGGCACGAAAGCGUGGGGAUCAAACCGG
rnacentral:rRNA from 1 species